AUACGGAGGGUGCAAGCGUUAUUCGGAAUCACUGGGCGUAAAGGACGCGUAGGCGGGUUGGCAAGUCAGAUGUGAAAUCCUACAGCUUAACUGUAGAACUGCAUUUGAAACUGCUAACCUAGAGUAUGGGAGGGGGAGAUGGAAUUAGUGGUGUAGGGGUAAAAUCCGUAGAUAUCACUAGGAAUACCGAAAGCGAAGGCGAUCUCCUGGAACAUAACUGACGCUCAGGCGUGAAAGCGUGGGGAGCAAACAGGAUUAGAAACCCCAGUAGUCC
rnacentral:rRNA from 1 species